GUUGAUCCUGCGGGAGGUCGCUACUAUUAGGGUUCGACUAAGCCAUGCAAGUCAGAGGGGCUCUUCGGAGUCACAGGCAAAAUGCUCAGUAACACGUCGUUAAUCUAGCCUUAGAUCUGGAAUAACCUUGGAAAACUGAGGCUAAAACCGGAUAUGGGAAAAUAAUUGGAAAAUGUUUUCCUUUAAAAGCGAUGUCUAAGGAUGAGACGGCGGCGGAUUAGGUUGUUGGCGGGGUAAUGGCCCACCAAGCCGACGAUCCGUAGGGGCCGUGAGAGCGGUAGCCCCGAGAAGGACACUGAGAUACUGGUCCUAGCCCUACGGGGUGCAGCAGGCGCGAAACCUUUACAAUGCACGAAAGUGUGAUAAGGGAACCCUAAGUGCUCAUGUUUUACAUGGGCUUUUGCCAAGUAUAAAUAUCUUGGCGAAUAAGUGGUGGGAAAGACUGGUGCCAGCAGCCGCGGUAACACCAGCGCCACAAGUAGGGACCACUACUAUUGGGCCUAAAGCGUCCGUAGCCGGCUGAAUAAAUUUCUUGUGAAAUUGUUGGGCUUAACCUAACAACGUGCAGGAAAAACUGUUCAGCUUGGAACCGGGAGAAGUCAGGAGUAUGCUGGGGGGAGCGGUAAAAUGUUAUAAUCCCCGGUAGACUACCAGUGGCGAAGGCGCCUGACUAGAACGGAUUCGACGGUGAGGGACGAAAGCCAGGGGAGCGAAGCGGAUUAGAUACCCGUGUAGUCCUGGCCGUAAACGCUGCGAGCUAGGUGUUGCAUAUUCUACAUGAAUAUGCAGUAUCGAAGCGAAGGUGAUAUGCUCGCCGCCUGGGAAGUAUGGUCGCAAGGCUGAAACUUAAAGGAAUUGGCGGGGGAGCACUACAAGGGGUGCGGCGUGCGGUUUAAUCUAAUUCAACGCAGAGAAUCUCACCAGAAGCGACGGCAGGAUGAAAGUCAGGCUAAAGGUCUUACUUGACGAGCCGAGAGGUGGUGCAUGGCCGCCGUCAGCUCGUGCUGUAAAGUGUCCUGUUAAGUCAGGCAACGAGCGAGACCUGCAUCUACAAUUGCUAACGGAUUCUUUAGAAUGACUGAGCACAUUGUGGAGACUGCCCUGGAAACAGGGAGGAAGGUGCAGGCUACGGUAGGUCUGUAUGCUCCGAAUCUUCUGGGCUACACGCGCGCAACAAUGGUAAGGACAAUGGGAUGCGACUCCGAAAGGAGGAGCUAAUCCUCGAAACCUUAUCCAAGUCUAGAUUGAGGAUUGUAACUCAUCCUCACGACAAUGGAAUCCCUAGUAAUCAGAGUUUAUCAUACUCCGGUGAACAUGUCCCUGCUCCUUGCACACACCGCCCGUCAAGCCACCCGAGUAGGGUUUAGGUGAGAGGUAAAUUUUAUUUGCAUCGAACCUAAGCUCAGCGAGGAGGGCUAAGUCGUCACAAGGUA
rnacentral:rRNA from 1 species